rnacentral:rRNA from 1 species
GACGAACGCUGGCGGCGUGCCUAAUACAUGCAAGUCGAACGCUGAAGGAGGAGCUUGCUUCUCCGGAUGAGUUGCGAACGGGUGAGUAACGCGUAGGUAACCUGCCUGGUAGCGGGGGAUAACUAUUGGAAACGAUAGCUAAUACCGCAUAAGAGUAGAUGUCGCAUGACAUUUGCUUAAAAGGUGCAACUGCACCACUACCAGAUGGACCUGCGUUGUAUUAGCUAGUUGGUGAGGUAACGGCUCACCAAGGCAACGAUACAUAGCCGAACGGAGAGGGUGGUUGGCCACACUGGGACUGUGACACGGCACAGACGCCUACAGGAGGCAGCAGUAGGGAAUCGUCAGCAAGGGACGGAAGACUGACCGAGCAACGCCGCGGGAGGGAAGAAGAUUGUCGGGUCGUAAAGCUCGGUUGUAGGAGAAGAACGAGUGUGAGAGUGGAAAGUUCACAGUGUGACGGUAUCUGACCAGGAAGGGACGGCUAACUACGUG